AUUGAACGCUGGCGGCAGGCCUAACACAUGCAAGUCGAACGAGUGGCGGACGGGUGAGUAAUGUCUGGGAAACUGCCUGAUGGAGGGGGAUAACUACUGGAAACGGUAGCUAAUACCGCAUACCAUCGGAUGUGCCCCGAUGGGAUUAGCUAGUAGGGGGGGUAAAGUCUCACCUAGGCGACGAUCCCUAGCUGGUCUGCGAGGAUGACUAACAACACUGGAACUGAGACACGGUCCAGACGCAUACGAGAGGCAGCAGUGGGGAAUAUUGCACAAUGGGCGCAAGCCUGAUGCAGCCAUGCCGCGUGUAUGAAGAAGGCCGUCGGGUUGUAAAGUACUUUCAGCGGGGAGGCGUUACCCGCAUAAGAAGCACCGGCUAACUCCGUGCCAGCAGCCGCGGUAAUAC
rnacentral:rRNA from 1 species